rnacentral:antisense_RNA from 1 species
AAAGGCCCACAGAGGAGACAAAUAUUUUCCCUGAGCCCUCUCUCCCAAUGUAUUGGAAAAAAUACAAGGGAUACACUACUGUUAUCCUGUCUUAGGCAAGUGGAAUUAGAAGGGAGCUCUUAACUUGCCCGGUGAUGCAAGAUCAACAAGGCAAUCAGUAAGAAAUGUACAAACAUUAAGAAGAGCCUAUUCAGAAAAGACAGCCUUCUAGUCAUCUUAUAAAGGCAAGAAAAACUGGUAUUUUGAAAUAAAAUAAUUUCAAAAAGUUCUGUACCCCCUGGGUAUUCUGCUGUAAUAAGGUAAAGACCUUUCUCCUUUGUUGAUGCAAUCAUUUACAUCUUCACCGUGCAAACACCUGUCACGUCCUUUUAAAUAUUUGUUUUUCUUUUCCUAGGAUGAAAUCCCAUAAGUCAUUUUUUUCUCGGGAUUAUGAAGUUCACUGCACACAACCAGCCUUAUUUUAUAUCUCUUUCUUUUAUUUCAGCCAUCUGGGGACUGAGCAGAAGUCAUGGUCAGAGGGGAACAUAUGUAUUGCUUUAAUGAUGGGGGCAGAGAACAAAC